CCCCAGACUCCUACGGGAGGCAGCAGUGGGGGAUAUUGCACAAUGGGGGAAACCCUGAUGCAGCGACACCGCGUGGGUGAGGAAGCGCUUCGGCGUGUAAAGCCUUAUCAGUGGGGAAGAAAAAGGACGGUACCCAAAGAAGAAGCACCGGCUAAAUACGUGCCAGCAGCCGCGGUAAUACGUAGGUGGCAAGCGUUAUCCGGAUUUAUUGGGUGUAAAGGGCGUGUAGGCGGGAGCGCAAGUCAGAUGUGAAAACUCAGGGCUCAACCCUGAGCCUGCAUUUGAAGCUGUGUUUCUUGAGUGCUGGAGAGGCAAUCGGAAUUCCGUGUGUAGCGGUGAAAUGCGUAGAUAUACGGAGGAACACCAGUGGCGAAGGCGGAUUGCUGGAUAGUAACUGACGUUGAGGCUCGAAAGCGUGGGGAGCAAACAGGAUUAGAUACCCCGGUAC
rnacentral:rRNA from 1 species